rnacentral:rRNA from 1 species
AAUCAACGCUGGCGGCGCGCUUAACACAUGCAAGUCGAACGAGAAAGUGGAGCAAUCCAUGAGUAAAGUGGCGUACGGGUGAGUAACACGUGGGUAAUCUGCCUCUGGGUGGGGAAUAACUCUGGGAAACCGGAGCUAAUACCGCAUAAGCCCGCAAGGGGAAAGGCGAAAGUCGCCGAGAGAGGAGCCCGCGGCUGAUUAGCUAGUUGGUGGGGUAAGAGCUCACCAAGGCAGAGAUCGGUAGCCGGCCUGAGAGGGCACACGGCCACACUGGCACUGAAACACGGGCCAGACUCCUACGGGAGGCAGCAGUGGGGAAUCUUGCACUAUGGGGGAAACCCUGAUGCAGCGACGCCGCGUGAGUGAUGAAGCCCUUCGGGGUGUAAAGCUCUUUCGGCCCGGACGAUAAUGACGGUACGGGAAGAAGAAGCUGCGGCUAACUACGUGCCAGCAGCCGCGGUAAUACGUAGGCAGCGAGCGUUGUUCGGAGUUACUGGGCGUAAAGCGUGCGUAGGCGGUGGUCCAAGUCUGGUGUGAAAUCUCCCGGCUCAACCGGGAGGGUGCGCCGGAAACUGGGCCGCUGGAGUGCCGGAGAGGUAAGCGGAAUUCCUGGUGUAGCGGUGAAAUGCGUAGAUAUCAGGAGGAACACCCGUGGUGUAGACGGCUUACUGGACGGCGACUGACGCUGAGGCACGAAAGCGUGGGGAGCAAACAGGAUUAGAUACCCUGGUAGUCCACGCCCUAAACGAUGCAUACUUGGUGUGGGCAGUUCAGUCUGUCCGUGCCGAAGCUAACGCGAUAAGUAUGCCGCCUGGGGAGUACGGUCGCAAGGCUGAAACUCAAAGGA